GAUGAACGCUAGCGGCAGGCUUAAUACAUGCAAGUCGAGGGGUAGCAAGAUUGUAGCAAUACAAUUGUUGACGACCGGCAAACGGGUGCGGAACACGUACACAACCUUCCUACAAGUGGGGAAUAGCCCAGAGAAAUUUGGAUUAAUACCCCGUAACAUAGCGAUGUGGCAUCACAUUGCUAUUAUAGCUUCGGCGCUUGUUGAUGGGUGUGCGGCUGAUUAGAUAGUUGGCGGGGUAACGGCCCACCAAGUCUACGAUCAGUAGCGGAUGUGAGAGCAUGAUCAGCCACACGGGCACUGAGACACGGGCCCGACUCCUACGGGAGGCAGCAGUAAGGAAUAUUGGACAAUGGACGCAAGUCUGAGCCAGCCAUGCCGCGUGAAGGAUUAAGGUCCUCUGGAUUGUAAACUUCUUUUAUAAGGGACGAAAAAAGGUCUUUCUAGAUCGUCUGACGGUACCUUAUGAAUAAGCACCGGCUAACUCCGUGCCAGCCGCCGCGGUAAAAC
rnacentral:rRNA from 1 species